GGCCCAUUACCACUCACUAAAACAGUCUGUCACAGUGGUGCUCUGGGGCCAUUCAUUUUUCAUGACCUUCUUGGAGACGUGACUGGGAUUUCCUGAAACCACGCAUAGGUCCCUGCCCAGCAAGCGCUCUGCAUUAACAUCCCUUAAUUCUUCUCUUCCAAAGGUUAUCAUGUCCUGUGGGGGGAUAUGUGUGUGUGUGUGUGUGUGUGUGUGUGUGUGUGUAUGUCUUCCCUAGCAGGCAGAGAAACAAACAGCACAAACUAAGCUUGACCUUGUUGGAAAUACAGUUUAUCCACAGAGUGAAUGUUGGCUAAAAUUUAAUCUUAUGACAUCAGGAAUGUUCAAAGUUUACACAGGAGGGCCACUGUCAUAAGGACGCCUGGAAGAGUGAAGAAAGGCCUGAUUGAUCACAAGGUCCUAUCAAAUGUCAAAGCUGGCCCUGGCUGACCUCCCAUCUAUUCAGAGCUGCUUUGAUUUAAUCUCCAAACUGGCUGCUUCUCCAGGCUGUGAGUUCUAUCUGCAACCCAUGUGUCAGCAUUGAGAUAUGACCUGCUUCACGCUCCAUUCAUCUCAUUUGAAGGACGGAAAUUAAACUCGAGGGUCGAAGAGGGGAACUGCUCAAAAUACACACACACAUUAACUGAAGCCUUUUGUAGAAGAGAAUUGAAAAUUUCAAGAAGGCAAAGGUGAUGGAAGUGUCUUCAUGAGACCCUUGGGUAACAUAAAUUGGCAAAGAAUUGGAUGAUCUGGGUUCUAAGAUCUGGCCUUAAAACUAGCC
rnacentral:lncRNA from 1 species